rnacentral:rRNA from 1 species
CGGACGGGUGAGUAACACGUGGGUAACCUACCCAUCAGAGGGGGAUAACACUUGGAAACAGGUGCUAAUACCGCAUAACAGUUUAUGCCGCAUGGCAUAAGAGUGAAAGGCGCUUUCGGGUGUCGCUGAUGGAUGGACCCGCGGUGCAUUAGCUAGUUGGUGAGGUAACGGCUCACCAAGGCCACGAUGCAUAGCCGACCUGAGAGGGUGAUCGGCCACACUGGGACUGAGACACGGCCCAGACUCCUACGGGAGGCAGCAGUAGGGAAUCUUCGGCAAUGGACGAAAGUCUGACCGAGCAACGCCGCGUGAGUGAAGAAGGUUUUCGGAUCGUAAAACUCUGUUGUUAGAGAAGAACAAGGACGUUAGUAACUGAACGUCCCCUGACGGUAUCUAACCAGAAAGCCACGGCUAACUACGUGCCAGCAGCCGCGGUAAUACGUAGGUGGCAAGCGUUGUCCGGAUUUAUUGGGCGUAAAGCGAGCGCAGGCGGUUUCUUAAGUCUGAUGUGAAAGCCCCCGGCUCAACCGGGGAGGGUCAUUGGAAACUGGGAGACUUGAGUGCAGAAGAGGAGAGUGGAAUUCCAUGUGUAGCGGUGAAAUGCGUAGAUAUAUGGAGGAACACCAGUGGCGAAGGCGGCUCUCUGGUCUGUAACUGACGCUGAGGCUCGAAAGCGUGGGGAGCAAACAGGAUUAGA